rnacentral:lncRNA from 11 species
GGUAAACAUAGGGCCUUAAAGUUGUCAAACAUCAGUUUCCACCUGAGCAAACAUACAAGUCCUAGUCUCUCACUCUAUGCAGAGCACCACAUUUUCUAUUUCAUUCAAUUUCUGAACUCUCCCAGGGACAGCUGGCAGGCUAAUAUUGGAAACAGGGGAUCCUUUUAUGCUGCAAGAGCUUUGAUUGAUUGAUUG